rnacentral:rRNA from 1 species
UACGUAGGUGGCAAGCGUUGUCCGGAUUUAUUGGGUUUAAAGGGUGCGUAGGCGGUCUAUUAAGUCAGUGCUGAAAUACUCCAGCUUAACUGGAGGGGUGGCAUUGAUACUGAUGGACUUGAGUACAGAUGAGGUAGGCGGAAUUGACGGUGUAGCGGUGAAAUGCAUAGAUAUCGUCAAGAACACCGAUAGCGAAGGCAGCUUACUGGGCUGUAAACUGACGGCUGAU